UGCAUGCUGACAUAAGCCUUCAUGCAAAACUCAGAUAGGGAAGUUAUUCAUCAUUCUCAAUCUCAGACCCUGUUACCUAGAAACCUCAGUUUUAGUUACAAGCAUGGGAUCACCAUAGCAACCAAUUAGUAUUUAUGAUGCCAAGACAGUGUGUAGAGAAGGAAAAGGGGGGAGAAUCUGGGUAUUCUUGCUCAUUUUGAUAUGACCUCAGGAGAGAAAUUCAAAAUAGUUGAACUUCCAUUGAAUGCAGAAGCUUUCAUUACAUAUUUCCAAAUUCACUCCACUCUCCCUUAUUCCUCUUUAAAUUUACCAAGUUGAAUACCUCAAGUAAGAAGGAGGAGGAGGAGGAGAAGAAGAACAACAACAACAAACAAACAAACCAUAACAACAACAACAACUCCUCAGAAUUAAAGCUAUCUAAAAGGGGAAUGGGCUUCUUCAAGAAUUGAUGAAUUCCCUGUCACAGGUUCAAGUCAAAGCUAGCUGAUCACUUUCCAGGGAUGUUAUAGAAAAGAUUACCAUUAAGAAAGACAGAGAUACCAAGAGAAAAAGGGAAGAAAGAAAGAAGGAUGUAAGGAAGGGAUGGGAAAGAAAUGACCAAGGAAGAAUGGAAGGAAGAGAUGAUGGAAGGAGAGAUGGAGGAAGAAAGGAAGGGAAGGACAACCUGCAUUGGGAAAGUGAAUUUCCUCACCAGGAGUUCUACAUCUGUGAAUCACAUUCCAGUCCCUAUCCCUAUCAUUAAGAACAAGAAAAACUAAAGAUGAA